UACGAAGGGUGCAAGCGUUACUCGGAAUUACUGGGCGUAAAGCGUGCGUAGGUGGUUUGUUAAGUCCGAUGUGAAAGCCCUGGGCUCAACCUGGGAAUGGCAUUGGAUACUGGCAGGCUAGAGUGCGGUAGAGGGUAGUGGAAUUCCCGGUGUAGCAGUGAAAUGCGUAGAUAUCGGGAGGAACAUCCGUGGCGAAGGCGACUACCUGGACCAGCACUGACACUGAGGCACGAAAGCGUGGGGAGCAAACAGG
rnacentral:rRNA from 1 species